UACAAUCGACGCUUUGAUUUACGGAUUCUCCUACGUGAAAAAGUGAGCGUACUGUGUCAUUUCCGGUGUCUAACGUCUGUCACUCACUGGCUGCUGCUUUUCUUCCUCAAUUUUGUCCGUUUAUUUUUAUUUUUUUGACGGUCGUCUGUUCUCCACUUCUUAUCGAGGCUCGGCUAACGUCAAAUACAUCGGGAAAAGAGUCACAAAUAACGGUUUCCUCUUGCUAGUUAGCUCACAGUUACAGUGGUCUCUUCUUCUAAACUAGUUAGCAUAGCAGUUAGCAUAAGUGCUCCUUCACUUCCCACUCUCCGCUCCCCGACUACCAUUAAUGUUUCACACGCGUUUAUGAAACGCAUCUUAUCUGCCGCAGUGGAUGUGAGUUUUGGUGGAAAAACAAGUAAACACGUCAGCUAGCCACUAGCCAGCCCUAAUAAUAAAUAAGUCGGUUCAGGGAAGCUAGCGUGCCUGCUAACAGGAUUAGUGCUCCCCCUAGAGGACAGGACAAAAUGUUGCCUCAUUUCUUAUUGAUACAAAGUAAGUGUUUACUUUGAAAUAUCGACAGGUGACAAAAGUAGUCACAGUCGGUUCUCAAGUAGAAGUGCAGGUACACUAGUAAAAGAAGUACACAACUGAUUUCACUUCUUAAUUUUUUUUCACUAUUCUUCUUCAGAAGCUGGUGAUUUUUAGGUUGACGCAAGACAACUUAUUCUCAACUUUAUUAAUAGAGCACUCAAAUGAAACAACCACAGCUGAAACUAAAGUGCUGUGCAUGAAUUCAAAUCAAACGCAAAUAUUAAAUAAAAUAUUCCUUUUUGAUUAAAAUAUUAUACAAAUUGUCGGGACCAUAGAAACACUCCAGCAGCGCCUCAUUUGAGUCUUGAGACCAAACUGUCACAGUCCCUCGGUUGGCUGCCUGAUGUUCUACCAGUUGCUGGUCACAAGGUGAUUCGCCACAAAUCUUUCUUGCAGCUGACAAUAUCAAACAACUCUCUUAAAUAAAAAAGGAAAAAAAAAGUAUUUUGUUUCGUUUCCAUCACUGGCUACAAUAAAUGUAGUGCACGAGUUAAGCUGACACAGUUGGUAUGUCACCGAAUUCCCAAAACUCCACCUUGACUGGGACCGGUUAGUCAUUGGCUGCAAGGAAAUCCUGACCGUCUCGCAUGACAACAUGGAUUUGCAGUACAAAUACAUCUAUGAGCUGUUGUUCAGUGUGCAGGUGGUCUUUGCGGUGGACUCUGUGAGACUCCUGAAUCCCCCCGAGGAGCCCGUUCCAGAUCUUCCUUUGGAGGUUUUCUACUCAUGUGAUGCACCCGCCACUGUGCAACUGGACUGGACUGUGACCUUCGACAUUGGCGAGAGUUCCACAUCCUUGCUGAGACGAUGGCAUUGCGUGCCGGGAAAACCCAGAAAAAGGACUCUCAAGGUGACCCUACCCGAUUGGUUGCUUUACAGACCGGACGCCAUCGUUCCGGAGUCCCGGUGGGUGUUGAGCUGCACGCUGGGAGCCUCGGUCAGGUACAGGAAAGUGGACAGUGGCGAUUGGAUGGUCGCAGCGCAACAUGUUGCAAGUUUACAGCCCCGACUCAUGUAUAGUCGGCCCGUCAAACGGCAUCAGGUCUGCUUCGCUUGGAGUUUGAGAAUGCUCUCAUUCGCUCGAGACCACGCAAGGAAACAUUGCCUGGUGGAGCAAGAAACGGUGCCUUUGCUGUCCUCGAUCUUCGCCUCCACCGGGGAAAAAUUCGGCAUCGUCAAGAAUCUUCGGCCCUACGCCAGCGACGUUCUGGAGUACCUUCGAAUUCACGCCCUCGCAUUCCCCUGGUCCAAGUUCUCCGUCUGGAUAUUGGUGACCCGGCACUGCCGGGAUAGCUCGUGCGGGGUGCUUCACCACAUUGACUCCCAGAACAACUACGCAACGCCCACUGUGCUCCUCACUCAAUCAGGUCGGCUGCAUGUCCAAGUGCACGGCGGGCCGGGGGAAUCCACCGCCAUCCUCUUCCCGCACGAGGUGCCCUUGAGCGAGUGGUGUCACCUCACGGUGACGUUUCAAGGCAGACAGGUUACUAUCGCCACAGUGUGCUUGGGCAAGAAGUCGAGAACGGUGAAGUCGACAGAGAACAGGCUGAGCCAUGACAUCAGGCUGGACGACACUGACGGAUACUUUGUGAUCGGAGGGGGUCGAUACGUUAAAGGCGUCGAAGGUUACUUCGGACCCUCGUUUUACGAUCGGAAUAGAGCGUCGCCUCAAAGCUCGUCAGAAGUUGUUCUUCCGGACGUCAUCGCAGAAGUGAACCUAACUGGGUGGAUGCACGCCUGUGGAGAAUUCUCUCUCUAUAUCAACCAAAGCAUCCGUUUCUACUCCCUCCUGGCCCAGCAAAAAAGCAAAGAGUCAAGCAACCGUUUGGAGAUGUUCCACACUGAGAAACAGAAAUAUACGCUGAACACGUGCGAGCUGUGGGAGGGGGCAGUUCCUCAAUAUGUCACCAAAAUUGUACAGUAUUUGGCUUUCAAACGUGGAAGAAGAGCAGCGAGCCCUGACGCGGUGGGCCGAGCGCUGCGUUCUCUGUCCCUUCGCCAACUGGACGGCGUGAGCAGCACGCGAGCCUUUGCUCAAGUUUUACCUCUGCUGCUGAAUGCCGGCUGCUUGAAUAACGCUGCCGCUCUGCACAUGUCAUCGCUCAUCUACAGCUUGGGUCUGGGGGUGGAGAAAGAGCCCAGUAAGGCGUGGCUGCUGGCCCUGUUGGCGGCCCAGAAGGACCAUCGACUGGCUCUGCUGCGACUAGGCCACCUGCACCACCGGGGCCUGCGGGGGGUCCUCGCAGACGAGGACGUGGCCUACGCUUACUACGCCAACUUGGCCAGACAGACCACGCGGGAUCGGCAGAAUCCCUCGCCGGAGCAGGUCUACGUUGAGGACAUCUACCUGCACGACGACGAGAUCCUCAACCUUCAGACCAACAAAGACCAUCACAUCUUCCAGUGGCUGAAGCUUCAGGCGUUCCAAGGUGCCCCCGAUGCCGAGCAAGCCCUGGCCCGCAUGCUGUUCUGGGGUCAGCAGGGAGUGUCGCCCGACAUCGAGGCGGCACUGAGGCACUACGAGAGGGGGGCGGUCCGCCUGGAGGACCCCGUGUCCAUGUACGACUUUGCCAUCGUCCUUCUGCGGGGCCACGGUGUCAAAAAAGACAUUCCCAAAGCCAUCAAGUUAUUGAAGAAAGCAAUGGACGAGGGUUUCGUCCCCGCCAUCAGCGCGCUGGCCUGGUACUACGAGCGCCUGGAGCUUGACUACGAAAAGGCGGCGGAGCUGUGGGAGCGGGCGGACGACCUCGGGAGCCCGGACGCCGCUCUCAACCUCGGGAUCUUGCACUCCCUCGGGCUUUACCCGCAGAGACCUGCCGACCAGUACAUGGCGUACGAGUACUUCCUGAAGGCUGCCGAGCGAGGACACAUCAGGGGAGCGGCGGAAGUCGCCGACGUCUGGUCCACCGGGCUCGCCGGUCGCGUCAGUCGCCGUCCGUCCGAUGCUCUCUUAUGGGCAAAGCGGGCAGCGGAGCAAAACGGAUACCUGGGUCGUCUGCUGCGGCGAGCCCUGAACGCCUUCCUGAAGGGUGACCUGUUUGGCUCGCUGGUGUGUUACAUGAUGGCCGCCGAACUGGGCGUUGCGGUGGCCCAGUUUAACGUGGCAUAUCUGUGUGAUCAAAACCAGGGCGAUUUCCUGGCUCCUGCUUUUGCACUGCACUGCAAGAGAAGAUAUUAUAACCUGAGCGUCCACAAUCCGAAACCUGAGCCUUACGCCCUCCUGAGGAUGGGCGACAUGUGGUACGACGGCCUGGUGGACGGCCGCAAGAGGUUGACUCCUGCCGCGCAGAUGUACAAACUGGCGGCGCUGCGCGGCGAGCCGCAGGGCUGGUACAACCUGGGGUUGCUCGCCGAGGAGGGCUACAGGCUGCCGACGCCGCUACUCAUGGAGCUGGGCCUUUCCCGGCUUUACUCGGCAGACGACGCCGAGCUUCGAACUGCUUUGUACAAAAGGUGUCGAGACUCUGGCAUUUCCGACUCCUACGUGCCUUGCGGCCUGGCUCUACUCAAGGUGCAUCUGCAGGUCUUCCGGAAGGAAUAUAGUACGCCUAUCAAGUACGUCGUCACCGUUGUCGCAGCUGCAGCGGUUGUCCUCGCGGCCCGAGGCCUCGUCGCCCGACACGUCCUCUCUUGACGCGGACGAGAGCCGCGGCAUUCAGAGUCGAUUUUGCACAUUGAUCGUCUUCAAAUGUUGAUGGUUGCCCAAACAAAUGAGCAAGACUAUUCUACCAAACCAACGACUUUGGAAGAACUUGAAGGGCGAACACGAGAAUUUAUGUCUUCCAUCCCACAAGAGUUCCUUGUGAAAUCAGUUCAUGCGGUUCCCAGGCGGCUUGAGAAACGGGUGGCCAAUGCUGGCGCCCGUAUCCAAUUUGAAAUCAAACUCCAUGCAAUACACUUUCUCCUCAUGU